rnacentral:rRNA from 1 species
UACCAGCUCUCCGAGUGGUAGGGAUGAUUAUUGGGCUUAAAGCGUCCGUAGCCGGCUUAGCAAGUCUCCUGUUAAAUUCAGCGACCUAAUCGUUGAGCCGCGGGAGAUACUACUAGGCUAGGAGGCGGGAGAGGUCGACGGUACUUCUGGGGUAGGGGUGAAAUCCUAUAAUCCCGGGAGGACCACCAGUGGCGAAGGCUGUCGACUAGAACGCGCUCGACGGUGAGGGACGAAAGCUGGGGGAGCGAACCGGAUUAGAUACCCGGGUAGUCCCAGCUGUAAACGAUGCAGGCUAGGUGUUUGGGCGGCCAAGAGCCGCUCUAGUGCCGCAGGGAAGCUGUUAAGCCUGCCGCCUGGGGAGUACGGCCGCAAGGCUGAAACUUAAAGGAAUUGGCGGGGAGCACCACAAGGGGUGAAGCUUGCGGUUU